rnacentral:rRNA from 1 species
GAUGAACGCUGGCGGCGUGCCUAAUACAUGCAAGUCGAGCGAACAGACGAGGAGCUUGCUCCUCUGACGUUAGCGGCGGAAGGGUGAGUAACACGUGGAUAACCUACCUAUAAGACUGGGAGAACUUCGGGAAACCGGAGCUAAUACCGGAUAAUAUAUUGAACCGCAUGGUUCAAUAGUGAAAGACGGUUUUGCUGGCAAUUAUAGAUGGAAACGCGCCGCAUUAGUUAGUUGGUAAGGUAACGGCUUACCAAGGCGACGAUGCGUAGCCGACCUGAGAGGGUGAUCGGCCACACUGGAACUGAGACACGGUCCACACUCCUACGGGAGGCAGCAGUAGGGAAUCUUCCGCAAUGGGCGAAAGCCUGACGGAGCAACGCCGCGUGAGUGAUGAAGGUCUUCGGAUCGUAAAACUCUGUUAUUAGGGAAGAACAAAUGUGUAAGUAACUAUGCACGUCUUGACGGUACCUAAUCAGAAAGCCACGGCUAACUACGUG